rnacentral:rRNA from 1 species
GGGGAAUAUUGGACAAUGGGCGCAAGCCUGAUCCAGCCAUACCGCGUGGGUGAAGAAGGCCUUCGGGUUGUAAAGCCCUUUUGUUGGGAAAGAAAUCCAGCUGGCUAAUACCCGGUUGGGAUGACGCUACCCAAAGAAUAAGCACCGGCUAACUUCGUGCCAGCAGCCGCGGUAAUACGAAGGGUGCAAGCGUUACUCGGAAUUACUGGGCGUAAAGCGUGCGUAGGUGGUCGUUUAAGUCCGUUGUGAAAGCCCUGGGCUCAACCUGGGAACUGCAUCCAUAACUGCCUGACUAGAGUACGGUAGAGGGUGGUGGAAUUCCCGGUGUAGCAGUGAAAUGCGUAGAGAUCGGGAGGAACAUCAGUGGCGAAGGCGACUGCCUGGGCCAACACUGACACUGAGGCACGAAAGCGUGGGGAGCAAACA